rnacentral:rRNA from 1 species
AAUGAACGCUGGCGGCGUGCGUAACACAUGCAAGUCGAACGAGAAAUUCCGGGCUUGCUCGGGAGAGUAAAGUGGCGGACGGGUGAGUAACGCGUGGGUAACCUGCCCCUGAAUCUGGAAUAACCCGCCGAAAGGCGUGCUAAUACCGGAUGUUGUCCCAGGGACUGUGGUCUAUGUGAUGAAAGAUGACCUCUUCAUGAAAGUUGUCGUUCAGGGAGGGGCCCGCGUACCAUUAGCUAGUUGGUAGGGUAAUAGCCUACCAAGGCGAUGAUGGUUAGCUGGUCUGAGAGGAUGACCAGCCACACUGGCACUGAAACACGGGCCAGACUCCUACGGGAGGCUG